rnacentral:rRNA from 1 species
CAAGNUCGAACGCGAAAGUUUCCUUCGGGAGACAAGUAGAGUGGCGCACGGGUUGAGUAACACGUAGGUAAUCUACCUUUGGAUGGGGAAUAACAACCGGAAACGGUUGCUAAUACCGCAUAAUGCAGCGGCACCUAAUGGUGACAGUUGUUAAAGCGGGGGAUCGUAAGACCUCGCGUCUAAAGAGGAGCCUGCGGCGGAUUAGCUAGUUGGUAAGGUAACGGCUUACCAAGGCAACGAUCCGUAGCCGGCCUGAGAGGGCGGUCGGCCACACUGACACUGACAUACGGGUCAGACUCCUACGGGAGGCAGCAGUCGGGAAUUUUGGGCAAUGGGCGAAAGCCUGACCCAGCAACGCCGCGUGAAGGAUGAAAUCCCUCGGGAUGUAAACUUCGCAAGAACGGGAAGAAUAAGUAGGGGACAAUACCCCCUAUGAUGACGGUACCGUUUGUAAGCUCCGGCUAACUCCGUGCCAGCAGCCGCGGUAAUACGGGGGGAGCAAGCGUUGUUCGGAUUUACUGGGCGUAAAGGGCGCGUAGGCGGCCACCGCAAGUCAAUUGUGAAAUCUCCGGGCUUAACUCGGAAAGGUCAACUGAUACUGCGGGGCUAGAGUGCGGAAGGGGCAACUGGAAUUCUCGGUGUAGCGGUGAAAUGCGUAGAUAUCGAGAGGAACACCUGCGGCGAAGGCGGGUUGCUGGGCCGACACUGACGCUGAUGCGCGAAAGCCAGGGGAGCGAACGGGAUUAGAUACCCCGGUAGUCCUGGCCUUAAACGAUGAAUGCUUGGUGUCUGGGGUUAUAAAGUCCCCGGGUGCCGUCGCUAACGCUUUAAGCAUUCCGCCUGGGGAGUACGGUCGCAAGACUGAAACUCAAAGGAAUUGACGGGGACCCGCACAAGCGGUGGAGCAUGU